AUACUAACCUAACGUAGGGGAUACCACGAUCAACGAGGUGGUUCCCCCAGGACUGAAGCAAACCUGCUGAAUCCUGUAAAUACUCCUGAAACUGGAUAUUUGUGCGUUUAAUUUUUGGUAGUGCGGGGUACUAGCGCAUGCGCAGUCCCCGC